GGACCAAAGGGGGCUUCGGCUCUCGCCUUUAGAUUGGCCCAAGUGGGAUUAGCUAGUUGGUGAGGUAAUGGCUCACCAAGGCAACGAUCCCUAGCUGGUUUGAGAGGAUGAUCAGCCACACUGGAACUGAGACACGGUCCAGACUCCUACGGGAGGCAGCAGUGGGGAAUAUUGCACAAUGGGCGAAAGCCUGAUGCAGCCAUGCCGCGUGUGUGAAGAAGGCCUUCGGGUUGUAAAGCACUUUCAGUCAGGAGGAAAGGGUGUGAGUUAAUACCUCAUAUCUGUGACGUUACUGACAGAAGAAGCACCGGCUAACUCCGUGCCAGCAGCCGCGGUAAUACGGAGGGUGCGAGCGUUAAUCGGAAUUACUGGGCGUAAAGCGUACGCAGGCGGUUUGUUAAGCGAGAUGUGAAAGCCCCGGGCUCAACCUGGGAACUGCAUUUCGAACUGGCAAACUAGAGUGUGAUAGAGGGUGGUAGAAUUUCAGGUGUAGCGGUGAAAUGCGUAGAGAUCUGAAGGAAUACCGAUGGCGAAGGCAGCCACCUGGGUCAACACUGACGCUCAUGUACGAAAGCGUGGGGAGCAAACGGGAUUAGAUACCCCGGUAGUCCACGCCGUAAACGAUGUCUACUAGAAGCUCGGAACCUCGGUUCUGUUUUUCAAAGCUAACGCAUUAAGUAGAC
rnacentral:rRNA from 1 species